ensembl:lncRNA
UUGAUACCAAUUGAGCAAUGUUUUCAUGCCCUAAAGAAUUCAGGCUGUUCUGGAGGCAAAGGGGGGGUCCGACCCAGUACUAGAUGGGUGCACCUGAUAAAUUGUUAAAAGUUCGGACACACCUACUCAUUCCAGGGUUUUUCUUUAUUUUUACUAUUUUCUACAUUGUAGAAUAAUAGUGAAGACAUCAAAACUAUGAAAUAACACAUGGAAUCAUGUAGUAACCAAAAAAGUGUUAAACAAAUCAAAAUAUAUUUCAUAUUUGAGAUUCUUCAAAGUAGCCACCCUUUGCCUUAAUGACAGCUUUGCACACUCUAGGCAUUCUCUCCACCAGCUUCAUGAGGUAGUUUAAUCCAUUUCAGAAUAAGGCUGUAACGUAAAAUGUGGAAAAGGGGAAGGGGUCUGAAUACUUUCCGAUUGCACUAUACACUAAAUACAAAACAUUAAGAACACCCGCUCUUUCCACCAGGUGAAUCCAGGUGAAAGCUAUGAUCCCUUAUUGAUGUCACUUGUUGAAUCAACUUCAAUCAGUGUAGAUGAAGGGGAGGAGACCAGGUUAAAGAUGAAGGGGAGGAGACCAGGUUAAAGAUGAAGGGGAGGAGACGGGUUAAAGAAGGGUUUUUAAGCCCUGAGACAAUGGAGACAUGGAUUGUGUAUGUGUGCCAUCCAGAGGGUGAACGGACAAGACAAAGGAUUUAAGUGCCUUUGAACGGGGUAUGGUAGUAGGUUCCAGGCGCACCGGUUUGUGUGUGUCAAGAACUACAAUGCUGCUGGGUUUUUCACGCUCAACAGUUUCCCGUGUUUAUCAAGAAUGGUCCACCACCCAAUGGACAUCCAGCCAACAUGACACAACUGUGGGAAGCCUUGGAGUCAACAUGAACCAGCAUCCCCGUGGAAUGCUUUAAAUACCUUGUAGAGUCAACAUGGGCCAACAUCCCUGUGGAGCGCUUUCAACACCUUAUAGAGUCAACAUGAACCAGCAUCCCUGUGGAACGCUUUAGAUACCGUGUAGAGUCAACAUGGGCCAGCAUCCCUGUGGAAUGCUUUAGACACCUUGUAGAGUCAACAUGGGCCAGCAUCCCUGUGGAAUGCUUUCAACACCUUGAGUGGCAAAGGAGGGGGGGGGAGACUCAAUAUUAGGAAGGUGUUCCUAAUGUUUUGUAUAGUCAAUGUAUUUAAACCCAGGAUUUCUGAUGCUAUGUAUUGGCCAUAGAGAUGCCACCGGUUGGCCAUAUUGACACUCCCCAAUAGGAGCAAUCCUCCACAGACGUGUUGGCUGACAACGUUGCCAGAAGCCGAGCUAUAUGACGCUGAACGACCAGAUAGCUAGCAACAAUGACUAGAGCUGUCAGCUAGCAACAAUGACUAGAGCUGUCAGCUAGCAACAAUGACUAGAGCUGUCAGCUAGCAACAAUGACUAGAGCUGUCAGCUAGCAACAAUGACUAGAGCUGUCAUGUGGGGAAUCAUAGGUGGCUCUUUUUAGAUAAAAACAUAUUCUUGAUAACAUGAUAAUUUAGAUAAUUUAAAACUAAAUCUUGUUCUUGAUAACACGUCUUGUUGUUGACAGUAUUAACGAUGUAUUUGAGAGACAUUGAGAGUCAUUGUGCAAAUGUAUUUAUGUUUUCAAUAAACAUUUCGGAGACUAAAUAUCGUUUAGGCCUACAUGUUGUCAAUCUAAUCCAAACCGUCUGUUGUGCGUGACUCGGUUUUUGUUGCUAAACAACCAACUCAGCUAUAAGAAAUGUUAGGAAUUCUACAGUAUUUCAAUUAAAUGUUUCAAGGACAAAGUUACAGUUAUUUUUUGUGUGUGUGUUGGGGACAGUAACAUUAGUAAUCUCAAAAAAAUAAAUAAUAAUAUUUAAAACAGGGGUUCUUCAACUUUUUCAGCCUGGGACACAAAUUAUAAAGGCUGUGUUUUCCUGGGACCCAAGUUUAGGAAAAUAUGAAACUAUAUGUAAAUAUCGGUACAUUUCAUUGCCCUUAUGGCUAAACAAAUGCAAUAUAGACAAAAACAAAUAACAAUGAAAUAAAAUAUUCAUAUAAAUAUAUAUUAAUGUUUACAUUCCCCCAUUAGAAACACUCUUCCAUAUCUGUCUAGGAUGGAACGGUUGCUGUUAAAAUGCAAUCAUUUUCAUUCUGAACUGGAAUAAACAGAUUGAUCACGUCACACAGAUAAACAGAACGCACACACACGCUUUUUGAUAGUGUAACCCUAAGUAAUAGUACACCCUACUGUAGAAACGACCAGGCCUACUGUACACCCUACUGUAGAAACGACCAGGCCUACUGUACACCCUACUGUAGAAACGACCAGGCCUACUGUACACCCUACUGUAGAAACGACCAGGC